AUGACCAACUCCGCCCCCGCUGUCCCCGCAAGAUCCACUCGAACUGCUGCCGACCCCUUCUUCAUCCUCGAAGAUGGGGUUCACUCUGUGGAAUCAUGAACACGAUGGAUAAUGACGAAUUAAGGCGGAUGAACGAUUCUGGCAAUACGCGAAAUACAUUCCAACUGUCAUAGGAGCAGUUCAAGGAGCGGUCAAAGUUUGGAAGUCAGGCUAAUAACGAAGGAUGCAGGCUGGUGCAGCAUAGCAUAUGGAAAUGUCAUUUUAGUUCGAUGCCGAAAAUGAAAUUACCAAAUAAAUUUUGAAAAUUGCAAAACAUGUCUUGCUAUAUUUUUUUUAUUCAAUUUACAUUAUGUGUAAAUAUCAUUCAAAUGGAAUGACAAAAUUAUCUCUUUAUAUCAAGUUUUUAUUUUUCCCUUGGGUUAAAAAAUUAAGACCAAAUUCA